AGGUUACGUCAAGACUCACAGUUAUUAACCGUAAGCUUUUCUUCUCUACUGAAAGUGCUUUACAACCCGCAGGCCUUCCUCACACACGCGGCAUUGCUGGAUCAGGCUUGCGCCCAUUGUCCAAUAUUCCCCA
rnacentral:rRNA from 1 species